CCGUAGGAGCGAAGUAGAAUGGCGCCCCCAGCGGCUUGGGGUGGGAUCUCAGUGCCUCAUUCCUAGGGGCCCCGGGAGGGCGAUGCCAAGUUUCGCUCUUGUUCCCUGGGCUGGAGUGCAGUGGCACCAUCUCGGCUCACCACAACCUCCGCCUCCCGGGUUCAAGCGAUUCUCCUGCCUCAGCCUCCCCAGUAUCUGGGAUUACAGGUAUGCGCCACCACGCCCGGCUAAUUUUGUAUUUUUAGUAGAGAUGGGGUUUCUCCAUGUUGGUCAGGCUGGUCUCGAACUCCCAACCUCAGGUGAUUCUCCCACCUCGGCCUCCCAAAGUACUGGGAUUACAGGCGUGAGCCACUAUGCCUGGCCUACUAAUACUAGGUUUUAUUCCGGGCCCUUCACAGUUAAUGUUGGAGGCCUCUGGAGGAUGGCCAGACCUGGGCUAUUUGCAGAAGCCUGGACAGCACAGCAAGCGGAGUUAAAGCAGUUAAGGCAGUAUCAGCUGAAGGGCCACCCAGCUGUGCGUGUGCCCAGGCUCCAAGAAUAAGGAGGUUGGGAGGCAGUCCUAAGAAAGGAAGUCAUUACCCAUCUGCCAGGAGCAGACGCUGGCAUAACGGUUCACACACAGAAAAGGUCAGAGGUUCUUCUCAGAACAGUCCUUAGGUGUUAGUCAAAAUUCAUUCACUCACUCACUGGUUCUGUUUAUUCACUCACUUCUCUAUCACAUAUCCAUUUAUUGUCAUUCACCUACUUAUUUACUCAUACAUUCAUUCAUUUGCUCAUCAAUUUAUUUGGUACCUACAUGGAGCCAGGUACAGGUCUUGAUUAAAGAGAUCUGGGGAGGAGUGCUCCCAGGAAGUUCAGAGCCUCACUGGUGAAGGACAGCCAUAUAAAGACAGAUCUUGCGAACCCAAGAUCAUCAAGGAGUAUCCAUGAUCAAGCAGAGCAGGGAAGGCUUUUUGUUUUGUUUUGUUUUGUUUUUAACAUGCUGUGUGGUUCAGUAAAAUUAAAACAGGCACAAUGAUAUCCUGGAUGACAAGAGCUGGAGGCUGUCAUUCUAACAAUGUAGUGGGACUGGCUGUCUUGUCUCAUGCCCAACCCUGGAAACAUGCGCAGGAACUCAAGCACCUAGCACAGAGGAAGUGUCUGGUUGUUUUAAAGGAAACACAAAACCAAAAAAAGCACCUCCUGCUCUGACCACCCCUAUUUCCAGUUUUCCCUUUUGGCACAGCAAAGAUGACCUUGGGACUGAGGUGGAACCAUGUAAUUCUUCAUAAUCCCAGAGUCAGGCAGACCUGGGUAUGAAUUCCAUCUUUACUAACUGCGUGACUCACUGUGUGGCCACGCCAAGUUACGAGGUCUCUCUGUUUCCUCCUUCCUAAAAAGGAGAUAACACCCAUCUCGAAGGAAGAUCUGGCCUGAAGAGCAGUCACUCUUGCCUGGCAUGCAGAGAAUGCCAAAUCAUAUCAAUGACUGGCCAGAAUGAAGUGCAUGACCUCAUCACUCCAUAACUGACAGGAAACAACUGCUGGGGCAAGAAAAAAGGGUCUCCAGUGAGUGUUCUUGUCCACACACAUCCCCACUCACGUUCCUGGACCACUGCAUCUAACUGCCGCAGCAGCUAAUGAACCUUCUGGAAUAAAGGACCAGUUUCUUAAGAAGGGAUUGAGACCUCCAGUGGCCUGCCACAUGGUUUCCGGCAAGAAUUUAAAAAUUAUUUGUAACAUAUAGUAAUAAAAACUAACCACAGGCUGGGUGCCAUGGCUCAUGCCUGUAAUCCCAGCACUUUGGGAGGCUGAGGCGGGCGGAUCACCUGAGGUCAGAAGUUCGACACCAGCCUGAUCAAUAUGGUGAAACCCCGUUUCUCCUAAAAAUACAAUUAUUAGCUGGGCAUGGUGGCGGGCACCUGUAAUCCCAGCUACUCAGGAGGCUGAAACAGGAGAACUGCUUGAAUCUGGGAGGCGGAUGUUGCAGUGAGCCGAUAUCGCGCCAUUGCACUCCAGCCUGGGCAAUGACUCCGUCUC
rnacentral:antisense_RNA from 1 species